UAGGGAAUCUUCCACACUGGACGCAAGUCUGAUGGAGCAACGCCGCGUGAGUGAAGAAGGUUUUCGGAUCGUAAAGCUCUGUUGUUGGUGAAGAAGGAUAGAGGCAGUAACUGGUCUUUAUUUGACGGUAAUCAACCAGAAAGUCACGGCUAACUACGUGCCAGCAGCCGCGGUAAUACGUAGGUGGCAAGCGUUGUCCGGAUUUAUUGGGCGUAAAGCGAGCGCAGGCGGAAUGAUAAGUCUGAUGUGAAAGCCCACGGCUCAACCGUGGAACUGCAUCGGAAACUGUCAUUCUUGAGUGCAGAAGAGGAGAGUGGAAUUCCAUGUGUAGCGGUGGAAUGAGUAGAUAUAUGGAAGAACACCAGUGGCGAAGGCGGCUCUCUGGUCUGCAACUGACGCUGAGGCUCGAAAGCAGGGGUAGCGAACAGG
rnacentral:rRNA from 1 species